CUCUUCUGAUCUCUCCCCGUCCCUCUUGACUAGAGUCUCUGACUGCCUCUCUGCUGUUUCUAACUGGAUGGCUGCCCACUUCCUUAAACUAAACGUGACCAAAACUGAAAUUCUGGUCUUUCCUCCCUCAAGUGUUGUUACUCCUGUGUCUGUCUCCCUCCAAGUCAAUGGUGCUACCAUCAGCUCCACCACGCAAGCUCGCUGCCUAG